AUUAAAGCAUGGCACUGAAGAUGCCAAGAUGGCUGCCAUUCAUGCACCCGAGGACA
rnacentral:tRNA from 1 species